CUUUCAUGGACGCGAUCAACUCAGGACAGGUCGACUGUGCUAGAUGGCUGCUGAGGCAAGACGGUUGAAAGCUCCAGCCCGAGAUAUGGUCGUUUUGUAGGGAGAGGGGGCUAGAGUCAGUGCUAACAGCUUAACAGAAGCAAGGUACGGAGAGCGAUCCAUGGCUGUCCCGAUAGACCCACUCAGACUCCUGCCGGAAGAUACUCCUCCGGUUGAUCCAGAUGAGACAGUUCUAGCAGAUGAUCAGUUACAGACUGAAGAACAUAUCCCACAGAUCAAUGCGUCAACAUCUGCAAAUGAAGGUACUUCAAUCUGCUCUUCUUGU